AUAAUCAUUAGUUUUUUAAUUGAAAGCUUGUAUGAACGAUUGGAUAAGAUAUUAAUUGUCUCAUAAUUAUUUAUUAUAAAAUUUAAUUUUUAAGUUAAAAAGCUUAAAUAUUAUUAAAGGACGAGAAGACCCUAUAGAUUUUUAUAAAAUAAUUAUUUUAAUAUAUUAAUAUUAUAUUUUAUAUCAUUUAAUUAUUUUAUUUUGUUGGGGUGACAUUAAAAUUUAAUUAACUUUUAAUUUAAAUUAAACAUUAAUUUAUGAAUUUUUAAUAAUUAAUUAAUUAUUAAUUAUUGACCCUAAAUUUUAGGUUAUAAAAUUAAAAUACCUUAGGGAUAACAGCGUAAUUUAUUUGGAGAGAUCAUAUUAAUAAAUAAGUUUGC
rnacentral:rRNA from 1 species